AAAAAAAAUAAAAAUGUGUUAAUGUGAGUGAGUGUGUGUAUAUGUCUGUUAGUGUGUGUAUGUGUUAGUGAGUGUGUCUGUUAAUGUGUGUGUGUGUGUGUCUGACUGUGUGAGUGUGUCUGUUAGUGAGAUGCCUACUGUGUGUGUCUGUUAGUGUGUAUGUGUGUGUCUGACUGUGCGUCAGUGAGUGUUUGCCUGUGAGUGUGUGUGUGUCUGUUAGUGUGAGUGUGUUUGCCUGUGAGUGUGUGCGUCAGUGAGUGUGAGUGUUUCUGUUAGUGUGUGUGUUUCUGUUAGCGAGUGUAUGCGUAUCUGUCAGUGAAUGUGUGUGUGUAUUUAGAAGACGGCGCAGGGGGAAGGGUUGGGGGCUUGGGGGAGGGCGCCUGAGUUUUGUCCUGC